UACGUAGGGGGCAAGCGUUGUCCGGAUUUAUUGGGCGUAAAGCGCGUGUAGGUGGCCAAGUAGGUCCGCUGUGAAAACUCGAGGCUCAACCUCGAGACGCCGGUGGAAACCGUGUGGCUAGAGUCCGGAAGAGGAGAGUGGAAUUCCUGGUGUAGCGGUGAAAUGCGCAGAUAUCAGGAAGAACACCCGUGGCGAAGGCGGCUCUCUGGGACGUGACUGACGCUGAGACGCGAAAGCGUGGGGAGCAAACAGG
rnacentral:rRNA from 1 species